rnacentral:rRNA from 1 species
GACGAACGCUGGUGGGCGUGCCUCAUACAUGCAAGUCGAGCGAGGCUUCGAGUCGAGCGGCGUACGGGUGAGUAUCGCGUGAGUAACCUACCCUAUAGUUGGGAAUAACCCCCCUAACGGGGGACUAAUACCGAAUAUUGAGUGGCACUGCAUAGUGCUUAGUCGAAAGGGCGCAAGCCCGCUAAAGGAUGGACUCGCGUCUGAUUAGCUAGUUGGAGGGGUAACGGCCCACCAAGGCGAUGAUCAGUAGCCGACCUGAGAGGACGAUCCCCCACACUGGUACUGAGACACGGUCCAGACUCCUACGGGAGGCAGCAGUAGGGAGUUUUCGGCAAUGGGGGAAACCCUGACCGAGCAACGCCGCGUGAGUGAUGAAGGUCUUCGGAUUGUAAAGCUCUGUUAUAAGGGAAGAACGGCAGCUAGAGGAAAUGCUAGCUGUUUGACGGUACUUUAUGAGAAAGCCACGGCUAACUACGUG